ensembl:lncRNA
CAGAAAUGGGUGAAAGAGGAGACGGACGUCACAGCGGCAGAAACUGGCCUCAAGCCAUCGUUCACUGGGUUUGCAGAGGAGAUCAGCUCCACAUCGCCGUGAUCAAUUUUCUUUUCAAUUACGCACAAAGGCGCCGCGGCUUGGCGGGCGUUUUGGACUUGAACGAACCCGAGGACGAAGAUGCAGACGAUAACGACGACGAAAUCGAGGACAAUGGCGACCGGCAAGGCGAAAACCAGGAGGAGGAGAACCACGGAAACAUUGGCCACGAGGACGACGAUGACAAAACUCUCAACCACGACAACGGCGCCACGAAGGGCGACGAUGGCGUCCACGUCGUCGACAGCACCGAGGACGGAGAAGUGGCUGGUUGCAGUGCUUGGUUUGAGGUGGGAGUCAAGGAGGGGGAUCAAGAAGACCCCCCGCCCGGAGCGCCGAGGAAGAGUUCGACGGAGGACGACCGAGAAGAGGACCUUGGCGAGAGACCGCGGAAGGAUUUUGGCGAAAGCAGCAACGGCACAGACGGCGCCGGUUUCAGCCGAGAAACUGGAAAUGGUCAAAUGAAACAUGGCGAAGCUCCUCUGCCGGGUCCAUCCAGGAGAAAAACCAACAGAGAAGAAGAUGAGAGAAGCAAUAAGUCAAGAGGGUGUGAUGAGUUUUCAGGGAACGACUCUGAGGAAGAGAAUAAAACAAAGAGCUAAAUAUUCAAACGUAUAGAUGAGACACCAGCGAAGAAGACAGAUGCACACAUUAAGAUAUUAAGUAUUUCACUUCAUACGUACAUAUACUGUACAUCUAUAUGAAUAUAUAUAUAUAUAUAUAUAUGGAGAUACUAAUAUCAAUAUAUACAGAGAGGCAUCGCCAUUCCUGUAUCCAGAGGCAGUGUGUUACACAAUUAAAAUCUGAAAGCUGUACUAUUAAAAAAGAAAAGCAACGGAGGCCCUUUGUGGGAACAUAAAAUGAAGCUCUUGGAUGCAGGAAAGCACAAGGUCAUUUAAAGCGUCAUGAACACGCACAUACAUUUAUAACCAAUUCUAAAACGCCAUCGUGUGGCAUUAAACAAAAAUAGUCAAAACACCCUCAAUCAACAGAUCAGCUAACUUCUUUGUUACCAAUUAUCCCAAAGUCGAAUAUUUACCCCAAUAGGUCUGCAAAUACACACGCAGGGUACGUGAGGAAGCGGCCUCUUACAGAACAGACGGUUAAACCCACUCAGUCGCCUCGUGUGUGGAAUAGUUCAUCUGGAUGUGUAGGUCGACGGCGGAAAGCCACGGUGUGAAGGACAAUCUCUCAGCGGUGUUUGGUGUACGUCCGCAUGGUGACCCUCGGCACGGUGGAGGUCCCACUGACGGACAGCGAUCUUUAGACGCGGGGGACUUUGCACGCGGCCCCGUGCAGCUGGGCGGCAGCGCGAGUCGUGACAGGUCAUGUCUCCGAGGUGUCAGCGAGCAUCUGUCCCGCCGAGCGACACACGGCGGUUCUUUGCGUCUCGCGCCCUGCGGUUUCGUGGACCUGCGAUCUGCUCAGCAGUCGGACGGGCCCUGAAGCGCUUCCCCCUCCUCCACAGGGUGGGGCGGUUUUCCCCGCAUCGGACUCAAACAGUUGCCCCCAAAGCCCAUCUGGUGAUUGACUGCCGGCAGCUGGUGGAUCCCCACGCCGGACAGUGAUUCCCCGUGGCCGAUGCACGCGGCCCGUCUUCGUCAACGGGCGAUUACCAUCAAAGAGGAGGCGUCGCCCGGGGAGGGGGGGGCGUUGAGGUCGCCUGUAGGCUGUUUGUCACAUGAGUCGUCAGGGGCUAUAAAGGCUGAUGGAGCCAAAGAGAGGCGCCGCGGUGCAAUCAGAACAAAUGGCCCGCGUGCAGACAUGCCUCGGUGAACUUUGGCGUGUCUGCAGUUUCAUACUUUGUCACUAUAUCGCUGUUGUUGUGAGGGACCUCGCUGCUGCGAGCAUGGGUUUGUUUGCGUGUUAGUGCUCCAGAGGAUAAAGCAGCUGGUGGACAGAAAUAGAAAGCUUUAUUAAUCCUUUCCAGAGUGCAAGGAACACACACAUGAACGACGAAAUAACACACAAAUGACAUCCGAGAGAUUUAAGGGUUCAUUAAAAAAACAUCCAACUCGUACCUUCAGAAGAACACUGAGGCGUCCUGAGCUGCUCACUCAGUGAGCUUCUGUCCAGCAGCAACACAGUGUGAUGGAUUCAGAAUAAAUUAAUUCACUGUCUUGGCCGAUUUGGCUGUCCAUCGAUCCGUAAGUGUCCUGGGGAAACCACCUCUUCUUUCCGUCUGAAAUCAACAACCAGCAUCCAACAAUCGAUUUUAGGGCAUUUUCAUCACCAACCUCACGUUUAUGAGGCCACGUCAUUGACCAAGUGGGGCCGUGUCAUCUGAAAGCUUUGGGAUCUUUAUGGGUCACCUGCUGUGCGAAGUAAGAAUAAAAAGGGAUUUAAAAUCGUUCCCUGUGGUGCUCCGUUUCUUGUUAAGCUAGUUAGUGUCAGACAGUUUUUAACAAAUAAUCUAAGAAGUUAAGUUUAUCAUCCACUCCCACAUCCUUUCUGUAUGCAAACGGUAAAGGGCUCUUGGAAGACUGACGAUAACCCUUUUCAAAACAUUUAAUUAUGUGUGACGCCAGGGCUUUAAAUCCUGUUUGAUUAUUGGCUGUGGAUUUAAAAUCUCAAUCCAGGUUCCUCGCGGCCUAAUUGAGUUGAAUGCACUCUGAAUUAAAGUAAUAGUUUGGCAUUUUAGGGGAAUAAACAUGUUUACCUUUUUUUUUUCGAGACAGGGAGAGUUGAGAGGAUGGAGACUAUUCUCAUAUAUUUUCAGUAAAUACAGUAUACAGCUCCAUCUAGUCCUUACAUUUUAAAAUGCAAGUGCAAUAAUGGCUGCCACUCUAAAAGCUUCAUGAAUUAUGAAUGUCUUCCUCCUGAAAGUACAUCGGAUAAUGAACAAGGAGAUUACGCUCUUGCUUUUCAGCCAAACCAAACAGCACCAAAGAUGGUCCCCGCUCACCACUGCUGAUUAUCAAGCCACAGACGGUUCUCCUCGUGUGAUUAGGAUUUUUAUUUUAUUUUUUAUUUUUAAAUAUCCCCCCUUCGGCGCAGUGGAGCUCCAGUGAGGCAGCACUCAUUCUCCACCAGGGUGGUCACUUUAGAAGGUGCAGUAAGUCUGACAGUCCAACAAUUUGUCUCCCGGGUUGCCUCUUAGGGACGAGGGACGGAGUAUCUCACGCGUGUGCUGGAUGACGUGUUGCCUGGAAGGAGGACGGGCAAUGCCCUUCUCCUAAUCGCUUACUCACUGACCAGUUUUAUUAAACGUGGAGGUGUUUCACCAGGAAUAUCUGGAUAUUUUGCAUUUUUAUCAACAUACAUUCAUGGAUUCACGGGUAGUUUCAGUAUUUUUUUAUUCAGCACAGUCAUAAUCAUAAAUCCAGUAUCCAAUGUGGGGGUUUAAUGUUUUAUUUGUCCCAUUUGAUACUAAAGUAAACUAAGGUAAAGAAUGUUUUUGAAGUGGUGAAAACACCGCAAUUCCAUCUGGGAAAUUAUAUUUGAUUGAUUAAUUAAAUUCAUUCAUUGAACAAACGCUCAAUUAGGUAAUGAAAAAUAACCACCUGAAUCAACAAUUAAAUGUAUAAUAAUUGAUAUAGGACAAGACAAUAUUUACAUUUUAAUGCUGGAGCAAGGUUUUGCUUUUAAAUAUUAUUAGAAGAUACAGUCAGAGGAACUGUGCUGUCAAUACGUUUGACUGUAUUUUGUUGUUGUAUCAUGAGCACUACGGGUUUCAGAUUGAUAUCCUCCGGUUAUGUUUUAGGAAGUAAAAAUGAAAGUUGCAGCCCUGGUUUGGUUUUAAAACAUCUAAUACCACUUUACAUAUUAGAACAUGCUGGGAAAAGCAAUGCAGAAGGUGUUUGGCCAUCAGUCCCUGCGUUCCUGCCCCCCCGUGUAACAUCGUAACCUCUCUCGCAGAACUGCUCUUGUCAGAAACAGUUUCCGUGCUGCCUGUUGAGUGACGGCGAGCUGCUUAAACGGACGGUUUUGUGGUCAACCGUCUUCGUUCUCCCCCCCCCAAGAAGAUUCCUCUGAAGAAAACCCAUAAAGGAACUGCAACCUCCUCACCCUGCAUCCCCAUCCACACCCUCACCCCACCCCAUGAUACCCGCGUGCUAUUACAUGUUCCAGUGUUGCCUAGCAACUGGCUGGCAGAUUACAAUUGGGGCCGUACAUGGUGGAGAUUUAACAGUUUAAGGGGGUGUCGAGAUGUGCAUACGUGUGUGUUUGUGUG